rnacentral:rRNA from 1 species
CGCCGCGUGAGGGAUGACGGCCUUCGGGUUGUAAACCUCUUUCAGCAGGGAAGAAGCGAGAGUGACGGUACCUGCAGAAGAAGCGCCGGCUAACUACGUGCCAGCAGCCGCGGUAAUACGUAGGGCGCAAGCGUUGUCCGGAAUUAUUGGGCGUAAAGAGCUCGUAGGCGGCUUGUCGCGUCGGUUGUNAAANCCNGGGNCUUAACCCCGGUUCUGCAGUCANCGGGGNANGNUUANANUUCGGGUAGGGGANAUCGNAUUUCCUGGUGUAGCGGUGAAAUGCNCANAUAUCAGGGAGGAACACCGGUGGCGAAGGCGGAUCUNCUGGGCCGAUACUUGACGCUUGAGGAGCGAAAGCGUGGGGACUAACAGGANUUAGAUCCCUGGUAGUCCAAGGG